UUAUUUAUAUUUAUUUCACAUUCACAUUCAAACACGAUACAUCAAUGGAGGUACAAAGCAUCUCAUCAAACUCACACGAGAUCAAUGGAGGUACAAAGCAUCUCAUCAAACUCACACGAGAUCAAUGGAGGUACAAAGCAUCUCAUCAAACUCACACGAGAUCAAUGGAGGUACAAAGCAUCUCAUCAAACUCACACGAGAUCAAUGGAGGUACAAAGCAUCUCAUCAAACUCACACGAGAUCAAUGGAGGUACAAAGCAUCUCAUCAAACUCACACGAGAUCAAUGGAGGUACAAAGCAUCUCAUCAAACUCACACGAGAUCAAUGGAGGUACAAAGCAUCUCAUCAAACUCACACGAGAUCAAUGGAGGUACAAAGCAUCUCAUCAAACUCACACGAGAUCAAUGGAGGUACAAAGCAUCUCAUCAAACUCACACGAGAUCAAUGGAGGUACAAAGCAUCUCGUCAAACUCACACGAUAUCAAUGGAGGUACAAAGCAUCUCAUCAAACUCACACAAGAUCAAUGGAAAAUGACCCAAGCUUACUUAAUUAAAAUAUGUGCACUUAAAAUUAACUUAAUGAGCAUUCACAUACACAAGCAGAUAUUUCAACCUUACUAUCAAACAGUACGUAAAUGAAUUUUAACUUUAAUAUUCAUCAAUCUCAUAAAUUUAUCAAAUUUGAACUUCCUGGUGACAGAUCUCACAGGAAAUUUCAGUGAUGUUAUGUUUUAUGAAUGACAGGAUGUAAAAUCAAUCCAAACUUCGUUGCACAUGCUACAGUGUAUAUAGUUUUUGUAUUUACCCUUAGAAAUAGAACUUCAGCUUCCUCUAAUGUCCUGUAGGAGAGGUGCUAGCAAAAUAACUUUGACCUAUGGUAAGUUAAAUUUUUACCUGUUUU